rnacentral:tRNA from 1 species
AAGGCUUUAGCUUAAUUAAAGUGUCUGGGUUGCAUUCAGAAAAUAUGGGAUAAAGUCCCGUAAGUCUUA